GGGCCCGCACAAGCGGUGGAGUAUGUGGUUUAAUUCGAUGCAACGCGAAGAACCUUACCAGGGUUUGACAUCCUGCGAAUCUCUUGGAAACGAGAGAGUGCCUUCGGGAACGCAGUGACAGGUGGUGCAUGGCUGUCGUCAGCUCGUGUCGUGAGAUGUUGGGUUAAGUCCCGCAACGAGCGCAACCCACGUCUUUAGUUGCCAGCAUUUAGUUGGGCACUCUAGAGAGACUGCCGGUGAUAAACCGGAGGAAGGUGUGGAUGACGUCAAGUCAUCAUGCCCCUUACAUCCUGGGCUACACACGUACUACAAUGCUACGGACAAUGGGUUAAUCCCAAAAAGCUAUCU
rnacentral:rRNA from 1 species